GGGGUUGUGGCUCAGUGGCAGAGCGCUUGCGUAGAUGCAUGAGGCACUGAGUUCGAUCCUCAGCACCACA
rnacentral:tRNA from 1 species